rnacentral:lncRNA from 10 species
CUUGCUGCAAACACUUACAUCCAUGCCACUCAUGAGAGCUGAGCAUUUGCCGUUGUACGUUCCUUGGUCUACUGUUCUCUUCUGUCAUGUAAGAGUGGGCCUUGGGCAUGAAGGCUGAAGAAUUUAGAGGUUGGACCACAAAAGACAAACGGGAGAUUUUGAGGGCAGAGGGGAAGCCACAGCCAUUUGGCAGUUCUAGUGCAUCAUCAAGGAGUACCUGGCUCCCCUCUCCCCCUCACCUGUUGGCAAGCAUUCUGCCUUCCCCGGGACCUCCUCCAGCUGCUCCA